GCCCAGAUAGCUCAGUAGGUAGAGCAGGGGACUGAAAAUCCCCGUGUCGGUGGUUCGAUUCCGCCUCUGGGCACCA
rnacentral:tRNA from 5 species